rnacentral:rRNA from 1 species
GACGGAGGAUGCAAGCGUUAUCGGGAAUUAUUGGGCGUAAAGGGUGCGUAGGUGGUCAGACAAGUCCCAUGUCAAAGCAUGGUGCUUAACGCCAUAAAGGCGUGGGAAACUGUGUGACUAGAGUACAGCAGGGGCAGGAGGAAUUCCCGGUGUAGCGGUGAAAUGCGUAGAUAUCGGGAAGAACACCAGUGGCGCAAGCGUUCUGCUGGGCUGUAACUGACACUGAGGCACGACAGCUAGGGGAGCUAAAGGG